rnacentral:misc_RNA from 1 species
CACAAUAAACAUAUGAAGGCUGCACCGCCAACAGGCGGCAAGGCUGGAGUAUUUUAUUACCCUUGUCUUUUGCGCACUUGUUGUUUCCUGGGCGGGUUCGCCCGCCUCCAGGACCACAUGAUAAACCUUUUUACGCAGUUGCCAAUCAGCGUCAGUACAACAAAUGUAAAUCAUUUA